rnacentral:rRNA from 1 species
GACGAACGCUGGCGGCGUGCCUAAUACAUGCAAGUAGAACGCUGAAGGAGGAGCUUGCUUCUCUGGAUGAGUUGCGAACGGGUGAGUAGCGCGUAGGUAACCUGCCUGGUAGCGGGGGAUAACUAUUGGAAACGAUAGCUAAUACCGCAUAAGAGUAGAUGUCGCAUGACAUUUGCUUAAAAGGUGCAAUUGCAUCACUACCAGAUGGACCUGCGUUGUAUUAGCUAGUUGGUGAGGUAACGGCUCACCAAGGCAACGAUACAUAGCCGACCUGAGAGGGUGAUCGGCCACACUGGGACUGAGACACGGCCCAGACUCCUACGGGAGGCAGCAGUAGGGAAUCUUCGGCAAUGGGGGGAACCCUGACCGAGCAACGCCGCGUGAGUGAAGAAGGUUUUCGGAUCGUAAAGCUCUGUUGUAAGAGAAGAACGAGUGUGAGAGUGGAAAGUUCACACUGUGACGUAUCUACCAGAA